AUGUAUGCCAUGCCAUCUUUACAGAGAUUUAUGCCAUGUAUUUUUAUGAUCUAUGUGAUUCAAGCCAUGCCUUGUGUUGCUAUUUUAGGUUCCUGUAGCAUGUGUUUUUCUUGCUCUGAACAGUGCUACCUGAUGCUCUUUCAGCCAUGUCCAGUAAUUUCACCAAGUCUGUGA
rnacentral:rRNA from 1 species